AUAUGACGUCAUUGCUAUCUAUUAUAAAUGAUAGAGCCUGUUCGCAGGCUACGAUAUAACCAGAUUUUACCAAUGGCGAGGAAAUCGAAAGAGCUUCAAUAAAAGCCAACAUUAAAUCGAGUUUUAGAUCAAAAUAUUCGUUCUAAAACCUUUAUUUUUUCGAUUUUAUCCAAGUAUUACCACUUAUCUUUAAAGAAUGGACUUUCUUGUGUUCUUAGCCGUUAAAAAAGGGCUGCAAAUUCCUUCAAAAGAUGCUAUUCUGUGAAGCUUACUGAAUUACAACACGUGGUUGAAGCUUGAAGUGUGAUGGUCUUUUCGCCUCGAUACCAGCGCCGUAACCUGUUCAGAAGGUGCUGAAAAUACUCUGGCGUGUCUGCUUCUAAGGUAUUUGGGCUUGUUCUUGUGUUGAUAUAGUUUAAAUCUUGAUGUAUGAAAGAUAUAACAUAUGUCUCAAUUUGCUGGGGUUUAUUAAAAGCAGGGUUUUAAUUAAAAAUUAUCAACCAACGUAGUUAGUGCCAGUGGUAACAAGCUUGUGUUAGUAAGGAUUCAACUAUCUCAAAAAACAAAGCAAAAUUAAACGUUUUCAGCGAAGGCCUUUUUUGGCAACGCCCAGAUUAUGCAUCAGUCAAUUCCAGCUGCGAUUACCGCUCCCCCUCCCCCCGGACAGUGUGGGGCAUUUGUACGCUUACUUGUCCCCAUGGCCAGGCACUUGCAGCUGCGUGUUCACCCGGGGGGGCGGGCAUUUGUCAAUAUCAGGUUAUUACCCCCGGGCAUUUGUUGCUCACAG
rnacentral:lncRNA from 1 species